UUUUGAUCUGUUUGACACAAAACAUAAUGGGAUACUUGAUUUCGAAGAAUUUGCACGUGCUCUUUCUGUCUUUCACCCGAAUGCCCCCAUUGAUGAUAAAAUUGAGUUUUCAUUCCAAUUAUACGAUCUUAAACAGCAAGGAUUCAUUGAGAGACAGGAGGUAAAGCAGAUGGUCGUGGCUACACUUGCUGAAUCUGGCAUGAAUCUGUCAGAUGAUGUCAUAGAAAGUAUCAUUGACAAGACAUUCGAAGAAGCUGACACAAAACACGAUGGGAAGAUUGACAAGGAAGAGUGGCGAAACCUUGUUAUGAGGCAUCCAUCACUUUUGAAGAAUAUGACUCUCCAAUAUCUCAAGGAUAUCACGACCACGUUCCCGAGUUUUGUGUUUCACUCGCAAGUAGAUGAUACGUGAGACGUCUCUCAUUGGGGAGUUUUGUUGGUACAUGUCAAUGACUG
rnacentral:misc_RNA from 1 species